UUCUUGUGAGUGUAAAAACAUGUCGGGUGAUUUUCAUAGCAACCAAACCUCGUCCACAAUUAACGGCUAACAAGGCUUGUUUUUAUGGAAAAGUUUAAGUCUCUAAAGCUUUGCCUUUUGAGGGAUUUGGAUUUGGAUUUUUACUCUUUGUCAAAUGGAGAUGUUCAAGUCCAAACUUUUUUGGCACAACAGAAAGGAG
rnacentral:lncRNA from 1 species